rnacentral:rRNA from 2 species
UACGUAGGACCCAAGCGUUAUCCGGAGUGACUGGGCGUAAAGAGUUGCGUAGGUGGCUUGUAAAGUGAAUAGUGAAAUCUGGGGGCUCAACCUCACAGGCUAUUAUUCAAACUCACAAGCUCGAGAAUGAUAGAGGUAACUGGAAUUUCUGAAGUAGGGGUAAUAUCCGUAGAUAUCAGAAGGAACACCAAUGGCGUAGGCAGGUUACUGGAUCAUUUCUGACACUGAGGCACGAAAGCGUGGGGAGCGAACCGG